rnacentral:rRNA from 1 species
GACGAACGCUGGCGGCGCGCUUAACACAUGCAAGUCGAACGGAAAGGCCCUGCUUUUGUGGGGUGCUCGAGUGGCGAACGGGUGAGUAACACGUGAGUAACCUGCCCUUGACUUUGGGAUAACUUCAGGAAACUGGGGCUAAUACCGGAUAGGAGCUCCUGCUGCAUGGUGGGGGUUGGAAAGUUUCGGCGGUUGGGGAUGGACUCGCGGCUUAUCAGCUUGUUGGUGGGGUAGUGGCUUACCAAGGCUUUGACGGGUAGCCGGCCUGAGAGGGUGACCGGACACAUUGGGACUGAGAUAAGGCCCAGACUCGUACGGGAGGCAGCAGUGGGGAAUAUUGCACAAUGGGCGGAAGCCUGAUGCAGCAAAGCCGCGUGCGGGAUGACGGCAUUCGGGUUGUAAACCGCUUUCGCCUGUGACGAAGCGUGAGUGACGGUAAUGGGUAAAGAAGCACCGGCUAACUACGUG